GUAGGGAAUAUUGGGCAAUGGAUGCAAGUCUGACCCAGCCAUGCCGCGUGCCGGAUGAAGGCCCUCAGGGUUGUAAACGGCUUUUAUUCGGGAAGAAGAGCAGGGAUGCGUCCUUGUGUGACGGUACCGAAUGAAUAAGCACCGGCUAACUCCGUGCCAGCAGCCGCGGUAAUACGGAGGGUGCGAGCGUUGUCCGGAUUUAUUGGGUUUAAAGGGUGCGUAGGUGGCUGUUUAAGUCAGUGGUGAAAUACGGUUGCUCAACAAUCGAGGUGCCAUUGAUACUGAAUAGCUUGAAAUAAUUGGAGGCUGCCGGAAUGGAUGGUGUAGCGGUGAAAUGCAUAGAUAUCAUCCAGAACACCGAUUGCGAAGGCAGGUGGCUACGAUUGGUUUGACACUGAGGCACGAAAGCAUGGGGAGCAAACAGGAUUAGAUACCCUAGUAGUCC
rnacentral:rRNA from 1 species